UACGUAGGGGGCGAGCGUUAUCCGGAUUCAUUGGGCGUAAAGCGCUUUAAGGCGGUUCGCUAAGUCGGGUGUGAAACCUCCAGGCUCAACCUGGAGACGCCACUCGAUACUGGCGUGACUAGAGUUCGGUAGGGGACCACGGAAUUCCGGGUGUAGCGGUGGAAUGCGUAGAGAUCCGGAAGAACACCGGUGGCGAAGGCGGCCUGCUGGGCAGUUGCUGACACUGAGGCGCGACAGCGUGGGGAGCAAACAGG
rnacentral:rRNA from 1 species